GCCCUCACCGUCAGUGAUGGAUCCAGCAUAGGCCUUGAGGGAGCCGCCAUUGGUGCAGGCCGUGGUGGCGGGCGAAACCCCCGAUGCUGAAAACAGAGCGAGGAAGCCCUGGCGGCGGACCG
rnacentral:SRP_RNA from 12 species